rnacentral:lncRNA from 1 species
AAUUUGUGGCUGGCUCUAACCACCAGCCCCUGCUGUCAAGGAGGAGGGGCUCCCACAGGGAGCGGGAGAGAGGUUAGAGGCAGACUCUUCUCAGAGGGGCCCAGAAAAGGACUGAAAGGCAGUGGGCAGAAGUUGAGACGGGGAAAUCCUGCUGGGGCAGGGGCACAAACCCUUUGCCAGAGGCGUGAGGCAGCCCUGGGACAGGGUCUGGGACCAGGGGGUGGUUCUGCAUCUGGGGACACUGCCCUGGCCCAGAGCUUGAGCAAAGUGGUUUAAUAUUGAAGAUAGAUCUAAAAUGGAAGUUUGACUGGAAACUCCUGAGGUUCCUCCCCAAAAACCAAAAUGUAGCUCUGAUCCCACAAAAGGGAGUGGUGGAGAUAGAUUAAGUUGCAGUGAUAAGCCAAGGUGGAGACUUGUGAUACCAGGAAGGCCAUGGGCUGGGUCAGGAUAUCAGGGCUGGCUCAGGCAGGGAUGAUGUGGCAAAAUCUAGCUGUGCUCUAUAAAUCCAGCCCCAGUCUUACCAUCAUGCACAGUCUUAGUCUGAAGGACAGAGUACCCUGUUGCAAAGAAGAAGCCAUGGAGAGACGGAUCUGUGUUGCAUUCCUGGCCAUUUGUCUCCUGCUGCUGGGAGGCACUAAGGCAGCUUCCCUGAACUCACACAGCUUUAAUGGGAAUAUAGCCGGGGAUGGCAGCUUCAACGACAAUGGGAAUGGCUUCGAGUCCCCAGCCAUCUAUGAACCUCUGGGUGCCUCAGGCAACCAUGAGAGCUUCGACUGGAACAGGGUCGGCCACAACAGCUUCAAUGACAACGGGGACUCCUGAGAAGUUUCACACCUGCUGAUUUCCCCCAUCAUCCCAAAUCUGCCUGGUCAUUGAAGAAUUUUGCUUAAAGAAUGCAAAGACCCCACGUCUUCUCCCUGGUGCACUGCAAAUAAACCUGGAUCUUACACCA